CAGGAUCACAGGGGAUCACAGUCCCUCCAGAAAGCUCUGGGUGCCUGCCAGCUCCCACAGGAAAGAGAACAGUGGUGAGACUGACUGUCAGUACUGAUGGAGACAUAAAGGAUCCUGCAUUCAGCAGCCUUCUGUUAACACAGCUGAAGGCGAAACUGAACAGUGCAGGCAUGUCAGAAGGCACCGAAUUAUCCUGGAGGACUCAACCUGAUGGCCAAAUCUUCCAUUCAAAGGACUAAAGAGCAUAAAUGACAAG